AAUACCAAGUUUGAAGAGACCAAUGCACUACUACGAGUUGUGCUAAAACUCCAGAGAGAUUGAUGAAGGUAGUGCCUAUGCCUUAGCUUGUGUCCAUUGGAACAACAAAUAUUUCUCUGUUGGAACUUUGUGGAGUUUGAACCUGUGUGGAGUGGUGUGGAGUCAGAACUAUGUUGCAGGUUGAUAUGUUUGAACAUGUGUUGUGUGGUGGAACUAUGUGGAGUUUAAACUUGGCUGAUGGAACCAAGAACUUUAUGUGUGGAUUGAAGUUGGAAGAACCUGUUAAACUUCUUAUCAUUUGGAAUGUAUGUAUGUGUAUGAUGGCUUGGCUCAGUUGUGUAUGACUUAUGAGCUGUGAAGGUAGUGUGGUGUAUGAUGACUACUAAUAUAAAUUGCUGGAUUACGGAAUCUGAUUCUGAUAUAUAUGUAUAUUCAUGUGAUUGUAUGACCUUUGAUGACAGAUCAGUGAUCUAUGUGGCAUUCGUCAUUGAAUGCAAGGACAUUUUGUGACGACGUACAAUCGUCUCAACAUGUCUCCCGCCCCAUACAAAACAUGACAUAGCUUAACUGUCAUGUAAUAUAGUAUGACACCACUGGUCAUCACAAAAUAUCACCUCAGUGUCUUUGCCGGCAUAAAAAAAAGACAAAAAAAUCAAAUGUCACAAAUUAUUAUAUGACGUUCACAGUCGUCACAAAAUAUCACCUCGUGUCCCGGCAACAUCCAAAACAAGACAAAAAUCAAAUGUCACAAAAUAAUAUAUGACGUUCAUGGUCGUCACAAAAAGGUUACUCCCUCCAUCUACAAAUAAUUGCAAAUUUCGUUUCCCAAAGAGUCAAACUUUUUUAAGUUUUACCAAAUAUAUACAAAAAUAUAUUAAAAUUUAUCAUAUGUGAUAUGUAUCAUUAGAUUGAGCAUGAAAUAUACUU
rnacentral:lncRNA from 1 species